CAGUACCUGAGGCAUAUGGAGGUUCCCAGGCUAGGGGUUGAAUCUGAGCUGUAGCCACUGGCCUACACCAUAGCCACACCAGAUCUGAGCCACAUCUGCAACCUACACCGCAGCUCACAGCAAUGCUGGAUCCUUAACCCACUGAUCGAAGCCAGGGAUUGAACCCCCAUCCUCAUGGAUACUUGUCAGAUUCGUUUUCCAUUGAGCCACGACUGGAACUCCAGAUCAUGGUUCCUUUUUAUUCAGGAAACAAUUUUUAUUAAUUUAUCAAACAUUCACUGAGAGCAUAACUAUUAAAUCUUGAGGACGACUAGUGUUCUUUUUGGAUAGUGUGGGACACAGCUCGAUGUACUGACUUGUAGAAGAGGCCAAAAAAAACAUACGGUGUGCUAGCCCAGAGUGAUCCUCUGGGUAAACUGAGGCACAGGCAAUGCCUCCCUGGGGUUUACUGUGCACAAAGCCCAGGGCAGCUCUGUGAGGAGUUCCUAUCUUCCACCUGCAUCUUACUUAGGAAUUAUUUGGUUCCCUUUGGUUUAUUAGAGGCUGGAUUGUAACCCCAUGCACUGCCCCUCCUCCCCUCUCUUCUUAGAGAAGGAAAAUGUAGAGAUGGCUGCACAAAGGCCAACAUCAUGCCUUGGCUGCCUGGCUUGGAUGCUGUCACUGGGAAUUUGGUGCAGAGUCAAGGCAAGGCUGGAUGAAGAGAAAGGAAGCUAUUUAGAUGGAAAAAGGAAGGGAUGCAGACCCUCAGGCUGGACAGAGGUAGGGUAGAGGGGCAGCUAGAGAAGAGCUGUGGACCCCUCACAACAGCCAAAACAUGGAAGCAGCCUAAAUGUGCACCACCAGAGGGAUGAAUAAAGAAGAUGUGGUACGUUUCUACAAGGGAAUACUACUCAGCCAUAAAAAAGAAUGAACUACUGCCAUUUGCAGCAACAUGGAUGAACCUAGAGACUGUCAUACUAAGUGAAGUAAACCAGACAGAAAAAACAAAUAUUAUGUCUCACAUGUAGAAUCUUAAAAAAUAAUAAUAUAAAUCAACUUACUUAUAAAACAGGCUCACAGACAUAGAAAAUAAACCUAUGGUUACCAAUGAGGACGGGGGCAGGGGAGAUCAACUAGGAGUAUGGGAUUAAUCAAUACACACUACUAUAUAUAAAAUAAACAAAGAAGAAUCUACUGUCUAGCACAGGGAACUCUCUUUAAAAUCUUGUAAUAAUCUAUAGUGGAAAAGAAUCUAAAGCUGUACACCUCAAACAAACACAAUACUGUAACUCAACUGUAGUUAAAUAACUUUUUUUUUUUGUCUUUUUUUUUUUUUGCUAUUUCUUGGGCUGCUCCCGCGGCAUAUGGAGGUUCCCAGGGGGAGGGAGUGGGAUGGAAGGGGUUCUUGAGGUUAACAGAUGCAAACUAUUGCCUUUGGAGUGGAUAAGCAAUGAGAUCGUGCUGUGUAGCACUGGGAACUACAUCUAGUCACUUAUGAUGGAGCAUGAUAAUGUGAGAAAAAAAUGUAUGCAUAUAUGUGUAACUGGGUCACCAUGCUGUACAGUAGAAAAAAAAAAUUGUAUUGGGGAAAUAACAAAAAUAAAAACCCUGUUUUGACUUGAAGCCCAAAAGUGAAGGCAGCAUCUGGGUCGGAACUAGGAGGGGGUGCAUAGCCAUCAGAGCCCCUUCUUAGUUAGCUAAGCCCACCCCUGCCACCCCCAUCCAGGACUAGGUCUAGAACGACCCCCACUCCCAGAACCAGGGCCCUCAUCUAAGUGGCCAGGCUUUGGGACAGUGACUAAUGGGAAAGGGUCAUGGAAAGAAGAGCGGGGCCCAGUGAGGCCACAGGGGAUGUGCCAGCGUGGGAGGGGGCAGGAGCGGGGUCUGUUUCAUCACACCUCACACUGGGCGAGAGCUGAAGCCAAUCAAAGAAACAGAAUGUGUCGGGUACACGGCCUACGCAAUGGUUUUUAACCCUCAUUUUAUCGCUGGGGAAACAGAGGCCAGGGAGUAAGUGUGAACUCACAAGGCUAGUAAGUGGCAAAGCUCAGACCAAAACCCAAGCUUCUAACUUCGAAGCUGGGACAUCAUGCCAGGAGAUUUCAAUUUUUCUUCUCUUCUUUAACAGCAAACGAAUUCAAACAGGGAGACCCACCAUACAGAACAGAUAAAAGCAGAGUUGCACAAAGUGGGUGGGAUAUGAACUGACCCCCUAAAUUGGCCUCUUUUCCCUCUAGGUCUGCACCCCAAACUCCCAGUGGCCCCUGGGACCAUCUCCUCUGGGUGUAAAAGCCAUUGCUUCCAGCUGCUGCUCCCACAAGAGUCCAUGCACUAAACCCCCGAGAACAGAAUCUCCCUCUGCCCUGUGCUCACUCUGCUGAGGUGGGAAGGGGAGGAUGGGAUGCAGAAGUUCUUUCCCAUCCAGAGACAAGUGGGGGACAACAGGUCCCCCCACUCCUGUCCUGGCUAGGCACUGCUCAUGGGAGGUCCCCAGUCACUAGCCCACUGGCACACCUCACGGCCAAGGGACCCAAACAGCACAAGGAGCUGCUCCAUCAGCCCCAAAAGGCUGGAGCCACAAACAAGGGCCAAGCUAGACCUGGCUGAGCCAGAAGGUGGCAGAGCCUCAGCAAAAACGACAGCUGCUGGUUUCCCUUGUGCAGAUGCAAAGCUGAUCCGACUGGCAAGGUGAGGACAGAGGGUCCAGGUCUCUGGGAUCGUGUGCCAGGGACCUAGUCCAUAUCCACCCUUCCCUUCCUCACUGAACCACUGCCUCAGGGUUAGGCAUGCGGGUGCACUCUUCCCUAAGGAAAGUGCUCGCUUCCCUUGCAGCUACACUGGCCACAGGAUUAAGUUCCAGUCCACAAAAGGUAACUGCAAGUGGGCUGUGGGGUUUCUGGCAGAUGACUUGAAAAGAGGGGCUGCAGCCUUCUUGUUCCUUUCCCCUGACAGCUAGAGUGGAUUUGCCACCCUGGACCACAAGGCAGCACACAAACAGUGACAAAACCACCGUGCCGGCCUCUGUGACAGACAUAGAACUUGUUUAGUCUACUAAUCUUCACCUGAAGGAAGCUUGUGGGGGAAGCUCAGAAGCAGUCACAAGGCCCCUGCCCUUCCCACAGUUCUCUGCCUCCCAGGGGCCCUGGUCCCCCUACCACCUGCCUCUCUUCUGGAAGCAAAUGAGGAGCCUUGCAGCUGGACAGCCCAGAGCUGGCAGACAAGACCUGGGGUUCUAAACCAGCUCUCUACCACUCACUCACGCACUCAUUCGGCAAAUAGUUCAUGAAAUCUACUCCGUGCCAGGCACUGUUCUAGGUGCUGCAGCCCCAGCAGUGACCAAGAGAAGUCCCUGUCCUCGAGGAACUUCUGUUCUACUCAAGGGAGAGACAAAGAAACGAGUGCCUGUCGAGGGGCCCUGUGCUACAGAGAAAAUAACAGGGACGAGGGUGUGGGGACUAGGAAAGCCUCUCUGAGAAGGUGGCAUUCCAGGACAGCUGAAGCAGGGCGGGGG
rnacentral:lncRNA from 1 species